rnacentral:rRNA from 1 species
UACGGGGGAGCAAGCGUUGUUCGGAUUUACUGGGCGUAAAGGGCGCGUAGGCGGCCACCGCAAGUCGACUGUGAAAUCUCCGGGCUUAACCCGGAAAGGUCAGCCGAUACUGCGGGGCUAGAGUGCAGAAGGGGCAACUGGAAUUCUCGGUGUAGCGGUGAAAUGCGCAGAUAUCGGGAGGAACACCAAUGGCGAAGGCAGCUCGCUGGGACGGUACUGACGCUGAGACGCGAAAGCGUGGGGAGCAAACAGG